rnacentral:lncRNA from 12 species
AUGCUGAGGUCUUACACAGCUCAGCACUUGAGUUUGGGGUCAGGCCACAUUCAGCAAACAUUGGUGGUGCCACUAACAAAUUCACCUUUGGAAAUAACCAUCAUGGCCUUGAUUCCUUGCCCUCCAGAGAGCAGAUACUCCUUCACUGGGGUGAGUCAUCAGGAGAAUAGAGACCUGGCCCUCCCAGAACAGAGUGAAGCUGACCAGGGGAAUCUUAGCCAAGAACUUAGAAGGGUAGAAGGAAAAUUAUGUUUCCUCCUCUAAUUUGGUGACUAUGAUGGGACCUACUGAGACACCCUACAGGCUCUGAAUCCUUUAUAUGGGAUCCUGGAAACUGGCAGGAGUCAGCUAAAGGUAAGAAUUCUUACCAAAGUUAGCUCUCCUGGAUCUCUGUAAUGCUUAUUAAGAAAAGAGGGUAAAAGCUCUGUGUUGUCUCUUAUUCUCCAAAUUCAGAUUAGCAGGAGAAAAACAUUUGUGAGAAUUUAUUCUUUAUGUUGUGACUGGUUAAAAUUUGGUUUUGGGUAUCCAUUGGUUAUUGGUUCUCUUUCCCUCUAAGGAACAGCUAUUAUUUUCCUGUUUGCCUUGUUGUAUGUUCUGAGAACUUGGUUUGGCUUUCCACCUGCCUGGGGCAUGCAGGUUGUUGGUUUGGCCUGUAUAGGCAGCUCAGCUAUCGCCAGGUUGGGGGCCCUAAAAAUAUUGCCAGACAGAAAUGUGGGUUGCACAUCAUUUGCAGUUACUGUCUUACUGACCGUUGCCAGCUCUUAGGGGAACUAAGUCUUUCUUUUGACUGUCUCUAGGAAUGGGUCUGGAUCUUGGGAGAACUGUAUCUCUUGUACCCUCUUUGGGGAUGCUUCCUGAGUCAGUAGUUAAAUCAUAAAAGGUUUACUGGUUUUGGCUGAGUCAUUUGGGGUAUGUCUUGGUUUAAAAGAAAAAGGAGGGGGAAAGGACUUCAAUACUGCCAAUACUGUAUUUGUUUGUCCUCACUGAAUCUUAACAAGGUGUUUGAAAAGAUUGUUUUAAGGAGCUCUAUAGUCUGAAAUUGUCCAAAUUGAAGGCUAAUAUUCAGAGCCUGAUUGGAACAUUUCUUAAAGGCCUUCUCUUCUAAGCUAAAACAAAACUAUAUACUCAUAGGAGAUAAAAAAUCCCAAAAAUUUUGUAGAGGGAUUUGUCAAAACAUUCCAGAG